AAAUUAUGUAAUAUUUUUGUGAUUUUAUAUAAGAUAACCUAUAUAAAAUGGUAUGUCAAUAGUAAUUAAACAUGUAUAUAUAUAGGUGGUAAAGUGAAAGUUAAUCUGCCAUACCAUAUCCAAUCCACAAUAUUAAAAAGGGAAAAAAAAAAUUGAACUUAUAAAAUCAAGAUAGAAGAUAUUGAUUCUUAAGAGAUUCAAUCUAUUGAACAUGCAUCAAUGGCUGCUUGUAUGCUCCGGAUCAGCCACAGUGAAACAACUCUUGCUCCUUUGUAAAUAGAUUCAAUGGCAAAUUUGUUCACUUUGUAGCCACACUGAGUAAAUGGGUUUCCAGUAUAGUCAUUGGGCUAUGCAAUCUUUGGUGUAUUCUCUGAUGAUUUGAUUUCAUAUAAAGUAAAAUUAUUUUAUUAUAAAAAAUAAUAUAAUUUAAUAUAAAUUUACAAUUCAUUUAAU
rnacentral:misc_RNA from 1 species